GACGAACGCUGGCGGCGUGCUUAACACAUGCAAGUCGAGCGGUAAGGCCCUUUCGGGGGUACACGAGCGGCGAACGGGUGAGUAACACGUGGGUGACCUGCCCUCAGCUCUGGGAUAAGCCUGGGAAACCGGGUCUAAUACUGGAUAUGACUCCAUGACGCAUGUUGUGGGGUGGAAAGCCUUGUGCGGCUGAGGAUGGGCCCGCGGCCUAUCAGCUUGUUGGUGAGGUAACGGCUCACCAAGGCUU
rnacentral:rRNA from 1 species